rnacentral:rRNA from 1 species
UACGUAGGGGGCAAGCGUUGUCCGGAUUUAUUGGGCGUAAAGAGCGUGUAGGCGGCCAUGUAGGUCCGUUGUGAAAACUCGAGGCUCAACCUCGAGACGCCGAUGGAAACCAUGUGCCUAGAGUCCGGAAGAGGAGAGUGGAAUUCCUGGUGUAGCGGUGAAAUGCGCAGAUAUCAGGAAGAACACCCGUGGCUAAGGCGGCUCUCUAGUACGGUACUGACGCUGAGACGCGAAAGCGUGGGGAGCAAACAGG